GAUUAACGCUGGCGGCGUGCCUAAUACAUGCAAGUCGAGCGAACAGAUAAGGAGCUUGCUCCUUUGACGUUAGCGGCGGACGGGUGAGUUACACGUGGAUAACCUACCUAUAAGACUGGGAUAACUUCGGGAAACCGGAGCUAAUACCGGAUAACAUAUUGAACCGCAUGGUUCAAUAGUGAAAGGCGGCUUUGCUGUCACUUAUAGAUGGAUCCGCGCCGUAUUAGCUAGUUGGUAAGGUAACGGCUUACCAAGGCAACGAUACGUAGCCGACCUGAGAGGGUGAUCGGCCACACUGGAACUGAGACACGGUCCAGACUCCUACGGGAGGCAGCAGUAGGGAAUCUUCCGCAAUGGGCGAAAGCCUGACGGAGCAACGCCGCGUGAGUGAUGAAGGUCUUCGGUUCGUAAAACUCUGUUAUCAGGGAAGAACCAAUGUGUAAGUAACUGUGCACAUCUUGACGGUACCUGAUCAGAAAGCCACGGCUAACUACGUG
rnacentral:rRNA from 1 species